ensembl:lncRNA
UAAAAAAAAAUCUUGUGGAAGUGAAUGUUGAAAACUAAAAUUACAGCUGGAGGACUGUGGGGCCCGAAGAGGGCAGUGGGCACAGAAGGGCCAUGGCACCGGCAGAAAUCCUCGAUAGGAAGGUGGUCUCCGCAUUGGAAUCAGAGCCACACAUAUUAAACUACCAAGAACCUCAACUGAGGCAGAGAUUGACUAGUGUCAGUGCUGGGAAGUUUGCUAGAGGUAACCUAGGAGAUUGUUUUAUUCCCUGUACACCUAAAAGGAUGCUUGAAACUUAUCAAAGAGACAGAGCCAGCUGUAGCACCAGAAGAUCCAUUGGAAGCUUCUGUUACCUCUGGAAUGGCAGAUGAGUUUUCAAGCCAACUAGAUUCAGGAAAUCUCCUUUUGACCCACUCCUUGAAGCUGUUUCCUCUCCAAACCUUGUGAAGUACUUCAAAAGUGGAGCCAGCCCAGUUCAUACUGACCACGCAGUACUGCUGGGAAAAGACAAGAAGAUUCUUCAGAGAGAGUUGGACUCAGCAUCAACAAAGACUUCAUCAAAAAUAAUUAUUUCAAGGUCUGCCAGAAUCAUUUUCAAGAUUUCCAGAGACCAAGCAGAACUAAGGCAGUCUGGAUCAGUGUUUCCCAACUCCACUAUGAAACAGCUUUCCUGUGUAAUCUACAUUCCCAUCAGCCUUGUCCUCCUGUCUGCGUCCUUCCUCACAACUCCUCAUCUGUUCCUUCUCCUGUGUCCAACUCGGCAUCCAUAGCACAGUGCUCUAAUGUAGAUUUCUGCUCUAAGGCUGCUCAGUUCUGUAAGCAAGGAAUGGAUGAAGAUGGUUGGAUUGCAGCAGCUAUUGGCUGGAGUCUUUGGUUUCUCACACUCAUUUUGUUCUGUGUGGGUAAACUCAGAAAGAUAACACCUAAUGAAUCGAAGUACACACAAGCUUGAAAUUUGGGACUCUAUAGACAAGACUAUCAAACUCCACCAGUUUCCUAAAUGAAGAGAAUGGUCUUAAAAUAAGAUUCAACCUGCUUUUUAAAAGGAAGAAGAAGAUGGAAAUGUCCAGUUUCAGCAAGGAUAAUAGUACUUUCACAUAUAGUUUCAAAUGGUUACUAUUUAGCUCUGAUAGUUUUCCUCUCUAUAUAGUUUGACAUCAGAAUUAUUUCCAUAAACAUUUGCUGAAUUGAAUCGACAAGAAGAAUUUAUGAACUAUCAGUUGUGUUUCCAGAACUAUCCUGACAUUCAAGGAUACAAAAAAGGGAUAACCAAGAACCAUUCCUCAAUGGAUAAGUUGUCAAAAGAUAUGAACAGUUUUUGAAAGACCUGCAAAUUAUCAAUUACAUUAAUUGCCAUUUGGAAACUUUCUCCAAAUCAAUAACAGUAAAUGAAAUGCAAAUUAAAACAACUCUGAGUUUUCAGCUCUCACCCUGAAAAUUGACUAAGAAAACAAAAAUAAGGACAGUCAUUGUUUGGAGGAGUCAUGGAAAGAAAGGAAUACUCAUAUACUGUUGGUAGAGCUAUGAAUUGAUCCAUCCAUUUUGGCUAUCCAUUUGGAAUUAUGCAAAAAUGUUACAUCACUGUUCAUACCUUUUGAUCUAAUAAAUCCUUCUGCUAGACAUAUACUCCA